UACGGGAGGCAGCAGUGGGGAAUAUUGCACAAUGGGCGAAAGCCUGAUGCAGCUAUGCCGCGUGUAUGAAGAAGGCCUUAGGGUUGUAAAGUACUUUCAUCGGGGAGGAAAAAACAAAACUAAUAAUUUUAUUUCUUGACGUUACCCGAAAAAGAAGCACCGGCUAACUCCGUGCCAGCAGCCGCGGUAAUACGGAGGGUGCUAGCGUUAAUCAGAAUUACUGGGCGUAAAGAGCACGUAGGUGGUUUUUUUAAAGUCAGAUGUGAAAUCCCUGGGCUUAACCUAGGAACUGCAUUUUGAAACUGAAAUACUAGAGUAUCGUAGAGGGAGGUAGAAUUCUAGGUGUAGCGGUGAAAUGCGUAGAUAUCUGGAGGAAUACCUGUGGCGAAAGCGGCCUCCUAAACGAAUACUGACACUGAGGUGCGAAAGCGUGGGGAGCAAACAGGAUUAGAUACC
rnacentral:rRNA from 1 species